CGCAGUUCCCAGGAAACUACGCAAUUCUCGAACAGAUCGCGGCUCGGGAAUGCGCAAAAUGGCCGACACACGAUCCGGAUCCAUCUUCAGCGCUCCUCCUCUCACUAUAAAUCCCAGACGCUCGGCAACCUGUCGCAGAAUCUUCACGUGCGUUUGGAAGUCCUCAGCUAUAAUCAGCAAGUCGUCGAGAUACGCAUAGACGUUUGAACGCAUCUCCACCGGAAUCACCUUAUCGACCAGUCUACAUAGGCGUUGUGCGGCGUUGCAGAGGCCAAAGGGCAUCAUACGGAACUGGUACAGACGCCGUCCCGGCACCGUGAACGCCGUAUAUGGUCGACUCUGCUCGUCCAGCUCGAUUUGCCAAAAAGCGAAUUUUAAGUCGACGCUGGAGAUAUAUAUCGUCUGAUCGAGACGCGACAAAAUUCCCUCGAUGCUAGGAAGUGGGCUCCUUCUGUGAGCGUGAUUCGCCUGCUUGGCGAAUGCUCGCACCCCUCUUCACGUUUCCCGCGCAAUUCGGACAGGUUGGACAAUAUGCAUCGGGCUUUCCACACCGGUAGCAGAACAUUCGCCUCUCCGAUGCCAUACAGUCCCU